rnacentral:tRNA from 1 species
GUCACUUUGCCGGAGUGGUUAACGGGAUCGCCUGCUAUACAGUAUUACUAGAGUGUAUCUGUAGCUCAGCGGUUGGGCUUUGCCCGCGAGUGUUCGAAUCGCUCAGGUGACG